rnacentral:rRNA from 1 species
UACGGAGGGUGCAAGCGUUAUCCGGAUUCACUGGGUUUAAAGGGUGCGUAGGUGGGCAGGUAAGUCAGUGGUGAAAUCUCUGGGCUUAACUCAGAAACUGCCAUUGAUACUAUCUGUCUUGAAUACCGUGGAGGUCAGCGGAAUAUGUCAUGUAGCGGUGAAAUGCUUAGAUAUGACAUAGAACACCAAUUGCGAAGGCAGCUGACUACGGGAGCAUUGACACUGAGGCACGAAAGCGUGGGGAUCAAACCGG